CGUGCAAUUAAAUCCUUGGAAAAUCAUAUAAAUACCUCGGUUGUGAUGAAUUUUAAUUAUGAAUAUUUCUGACUUACAUCAAGUUGUAAGUGAUAUUAAAUAAUUCAACUGCCCCAGUUCAUUGGUAAUUAAGCAGCAAAAAUGAGUAGAAUCUUCCUUAUUUUUCUCAUAAUUGGAAUCUUAGCCGCCGUUGCAUUAGAAGCAAGCGGUUGUUAUCAUCCGACUAAACCACCUGCGACUACUAUGUGUCCUACUACUACUAUGUGUCCUACUACUACUAAGUGUCCGACCACGACUCACAAACCUUGUCAUGGACAUUAAUCUCGUUGAAUUAUACAAAUUUUUAAACUAAUAAUAGGUUUUUACAACUCAUCAUUGGUUUCAAUAUGGAAUAAAAACAUUAGUUUAAAUAAAUAUGUAUACUCCGAUAUCUUCUGUAACAACUGAAUCCAUAAAAUAAAUUUAUUUCAUCAGAAAUUAAA